GAUGAAGAACGUAGCGAAAUGCGAUAAGUAAUGCGAAUUGCAGAAUUCAGUGAAUCAUCGAAUCUUUGAACGCACAUUGCGCCCGCCAGUAUUCUGGCGGGCAUGCCUGUUCGAGCGUCAUUACAACCCUCAGGCCCCCGGGCCUGGCGUUGGGGAUCGGCGGAAGCCCCCUGCGGGCACAACGCCGUCCCCCAAAUACAGUGGCGGUCCCGCCGCAGCUUCCAUUGCGUAGUAGCUAACACCUCGCAACUGGAGAGCGGCGCGGCCACGCCGUAAAACACCCAACUUCUGAAUGUUGACCUCGAAUCAGGUAGGAAUACCCGCUGAACUUAAGCAUAUCAAUAAGCGGAGGA
rnacentral:misc_RNA from 1 species